rnacentral:rRNA from 1 species
GGAAUAUUGGACAAUGGGCGCAAGCCUGAUCCAGCCAUGCCGCGUGUGUGAAGAAGGCCUUCGGGUUGUAAAGCACUUUCAGCGAGGAGGAAGGGGUUGUUGUUAAUAGCAACAAUUUUUGACGUUACUCGCAGAAGAAGCACCGGCUAACUCCGUGCCAGCAGCCGCGGUAAUACGGAGGGUGCAAGCGUUAAUCGGAAUUACUGGGCGUAAAGCGCACGCAGGCGGCUUUUUAAGUCGGAUGUGAAAGCCCCGGGCUCAACCUGGGAAUUGCAUUCGAUACUGGGGAGCUAGAGUAUGUGAGAGGGGGGUAGAAUUCCAAGUGUAGCGGUGAAAUGCGUAGAGAUCGGGAGGAAUACCAGUGGCGAAGGCGGCCUUCUGGACUGACACUGACGCUGAGGUGCGAAAGCGUGGGUAGCA